rnacentral:rRNA from 1 species
GUGGGGAAUAUUGGACAAUGGGCGCAAGCCUGAUCCAGCAAUGCCGCGUGUGUGAAGAAGGCCUGCGGGUUGUAAAGCACUUUCAGUGGGGAAGAAGGCCUUGGUGUUAAUAUCACUGAGGAUUGACAUUACCCACAGAAGAAGCACCGGCUAACUCUGUGCCAGCAGCCGCGGUAAUACAGAGGGUGCAAGCGUUAAUCGGAAUUACUGGGCGUAAAGGGUGCGUAGGUGGUUAAUUAAGUCAGAUGUGAAAUCCCCAGGCUUAACCUGGGAAUUGCAUUUGAAACUGGUAGACUAGAGUGCGGUAGAGGGAAGUGGAAUUUCCGGUGUAGCGGUGAAAUGCGUAGAUAUCGGAAGGAACACCAGUGGCGAAGGCGACUUCCUGGACCGUUACUGACACUGAGGCACGAAAGCGUGGGGAGCAAACAGGAUUAGAAACCCUUGUAGUCC